GACGAACGCUGGCGGCGUGCUUAACACAUGCAAGUCGAACGGAAAGGCCCUGCUUUUGUGGGGUGCUCGAGUGGCGAACGGGUGAGUAACACGUGAGUAACCUGCCCUUGACUUUGGGAUAACUUCAGGAAACUGGGGCUAAUACCGCAUAGGAGCUCCUGCUGCAUGGUGGGGGUUGGAAAGUUUCGGCGGUUGGGGAUGGACUCGCGGCUUAUCAGCUUGUUGGUGGGGUAGUGGCUUACCAAGGCUUUGACGGGUAGCCGGCCUGAGAGGGUGACCGGCAACAUUGGGACUGAGAGACGGCCCAGACGCCUACGGGAGGCAGCAGUGGGGAAUAUUGCACAAUGGGCGGAAGCCUGAUGCAGCAACGCCGCGUGCGGGAUGACGGCCUUCGGGUUGUAAACAGCUUUCGACUGUGACGAAGCGUGAGUGACGGUAAUGGGUAAAGAAGCACCGGCUAACUACGUG
rnacentral:rRNA from 1 species